CAUGGAAAGACCAGUCCGAAGUGGGGCCCUGGCUGCUGGGACCUGGGGCUGAUGCUGACGUGGUCAGGAGCUGCCUGAGCCCACGUACACAAAUGGCCAGGUCAGCAGGACUGUGGUUGAAGUUCGGAGUCAAAAGUAUGUGGGACACCUGCACAGGACCAGUGAGGAGUUGGAGACUUCAACCUGUUUGAGUCAGGUGGUAACAUUUCUGAUCAGCUGUGACUGGUGUUCACCCAUGGUGAAUGAACUAUUACUAGUGCAUGUUUUGACUGGGGGCAUAAGAGGCACAAGAUUCCUUCUGAGAAAGAAGUUAAAACAACCCUGUCCUCAUAGAACUUCACUCUGGCCCUGUGUUGGACAGAGUAAAUAAUGACCAUAGUAAAUAAAGAAAUUAUUCAUCCGUCAGAAACUGGUAAGUACUAUGGGG
rnacentral:lncRNA from 1 species